CCGCUGUAAUCUAGUGUUGAAAGAUAAGCGUCUGCGCACUAGAGAGCGAGACGAACGGAGGUAGCGGAUCGUCUCUUCUAAUGUAAGUGGCUGUCUUCUUUUCACCCGUCACUGUUUAUUGUUCAGAUGUUCAAAUGAAAUAAGAAAGCAGGGAAGCGGGGAGAAUAUGUUGAUUUUAAGAAUCUAUUCAGACUGGCGUAUGACGUAAAUUAGCUGUAAAAACCAGUUCUGAGCAGAGUACGAAAGCAAAUUAAGGAAAUGAAGAUAUAAAGAGGCGUGUAGAUUGUUUAAAAAUCUGUUUAGAUUAUAAAUUACACAAGUACCAUUUCUGUGGAGAUGUAUUAUGAAAGGAGAGAAACAAACUUCUUUCUACAUGGAAGUAUAUAGUCUGUUUAUGAUAGUUUCUCAAUUUGUUUUGCAGGAGUUCGUUGACGUUUCCACCAUCUGCUAGUUAUUCAAUACACCCGGAAAAAUUCUAAGCAGCCUGUGGUCUCGUCUGGUAUUAUAUUACACAGUUGGCGGUUUUGCAGUCAACUCUAAUUGCACGCAUGGCUUCGUUUCUAACUGGCGUCUGGCCAGGUGCGGUCAACAACCACCAGCACAAACAAUAUUUUACACAUUUGCAAUGGGAUCUGUUGAUUCACUUGCAUUCUACGAGUAGAUACCAUAUUUCUCGUUUUAAACGUUCUUUUUACAUCGAAGGACAGAGUUACAAGGAAUCACAGCCCGAGCUUAGCUAUGCUUCUUUCGUUAAGAAUUUAUUUUAUAUUUGUUCUACAGCUUUUGCAGAAUUGAAGAAGAAGAAGAAUCCACAGGCGAGUACAGAGAUGAUGUAGUUGACUAAUUAAAAAUGAAAGGGAAAGAGGUUUCGAGAUGAAAUAACAGAAAUGAACAGAGAAAGGAGAGUUCGGAGUCAAAGUAUUUAUUUUGAAAGAAAGAAGUUUACAAGAGAUUUGAAUUGAUUUGUUUUGAGAGAAAGGAAGACUGCGAACCUGUUAGAGCGAGAAAGAUAUCCAGCAGAAGCACCCAGCGUACGGUACUCUUGCAGAUACUCAUGAUCUUUUCGGAAACUGUACGCGUUGUCACUCCGUCUGUGUUGUCCUGGAUCUCCUCCAGGGUCGUGCUGCUACAAUGAGUCAGCUGUUCCGUUGAUCUCUGCGAAAAUAAGAAAAAUGAUCGUUCAUCGUCAACAGUAUAAGAAAUGAAUGAGAGAGGUUCUUAAGGAGAAUUUUAAGUUUGUUUCCCUUGUAAUGCUGGCUCUGUUAAUUAUACCAUCAUGCAAACUAGAUAAUUGUUGCUCUCAAUGGCACGAGGACUUGGACGCGCCACUUCAUGCUCUCAAUGACAUACAAUGAAAUAGAAGAGCGAAGUAGAUGGCAAUAAAAAUUGCCAUGAUUAAUUAGGUCGAGGCUUCAAAAGGCGCGAUUAAUGUUGCUUGAUUGAAAAACAUGAUAGCACAUCCGCAUGUCCAGAGGGGAAGGUGGAGCCUCGUUUCGAGUGCACUAAUUAACAGAUUAGUCUUUGAAAAGGAUAAAAGUGUCGCGCAUUCUUAAUUACACGCAAUCAAAUGAAAAUUUCGGAAAUUAUUGACUGAAACUUUAGUCUUGGAGAUUGAGAAAAGAGGAACUGAACUCUACGAAUCAUUUUCACUCAUUUAAAAAUAUCCAUUAAAGUAGACUAACAAAGUUCAAUUAAACAAAGUAGAUUAAAUCACUCUUGAAACAUAACUAAAGCGAUAUAUUCCAACUAGAAAUUAAUUGAUAUACUCUACAACGACUCUUGAAGAGUCUACCAGUUACGAAAACGUGUGAAUCUGUAUACAAAAAUACUUGAAAAUAAUCCAACGCGUAUCAGCGUCGAGCCACAACUGGCAUAUCUCGUCUUCAAUCAACGACUUCCCUCGCAAGCUCGAAUUAAAUGUUCUACCCACCCUGUAGCCCCCUCCAGAGCUAUCGAGGAAAGGCUUCGACACGUGUGUUAUAAUUUACGUUAAACGCACCGAAACACCGCGAUUAAGAGAGCUCUGGAGCUAAAUGAUAGUAAUAUAUCAUUCUUCUACGUGCAGUAAGUAGUUUUAAUAUAGUACAAUAUGCAAUAAAUUGUCUAUAUUAAUAUUUAAGAUACGUUGAUAUUCUACAGAGCAUAUAUAUAUAUUAUAAAUAUAUGCAACGUGUAAUAAAUUGUCUAUAAUGCUAAAUAAAGCAACCGUGAUGCACAUCGUAUUAAAAUAUAAAGUCUAGUUAACGAUAGUUUGUGUAUAUAAUUCAUGUUUCUUAUAAAGAGGAGUCUUAAACAGCGUGAUGUUGAUUAUCUUAAUGUCAGUUUAAUAUUUAGAGAUCUAUUGGAACUUUCUUAAUGCAUAGAAACAUUUCAGCGUACAAUCUUCAUUCGUUUCAAAUAUUUUGUUUGUGUUUAUUAUAACGGUGAUGUUUAGUCAUGAAUAGAAUAUUAUUAUCUUUUUAGAUAUAUGCACAGGAAGCUUUAACUCCUUUGAUUAGUUGAUUCUAAUUGCUUAUCGAGUCCAAGUAUUCAAAUCUAUCUCUAAAAUCGUAAUUGAAACUGUGCAAUGAGUUGUCUAGGAAGCUGUAAAAGAAUGGAAAAAGCUCCAAAUUUUACAAUAAAUGAAUAAGGUAUAAGGUAUAAGUAUAAAGUUAGAAUAAUACAUGACAGACGAGUAAUGGAUGAAAUGAAUAUUUACUGAAAUGUUUUUUAUCAGAUCUACAUAUACGAGUGCAUGAAAUAAAGAAUGAUUUAUUGUUGCAAGAAAUAUAUUCAUAUGCUCCAACAAAGCUCCAUAAUGAACAGUAUACCAGUGGAAUUAAAACGCAGAAGAAUUGUAUCGUAUGAAAAUCAAGUUUAGCGUCCCAUGCAUAUAGCAUGUAUAUACAUAUAUAUACAAAAGCAAUUUAAAAGCAAUUAUUUAAAAGUAUUUACAGAAGUGUAAAUUCUAUUUCGCAGAGGAAGAAAAGUUUUCUAUGUUUCCUUAAAAGUACUAAUUACAAUAUAAGAGUAAUGGAAAGUAUGUUAAGCAACAAUCAAUUUGGAUAACUAAUUUAUAUAUU